rnacentral:rRNA from 1 species
GUAGUCCACGCCGUAAACGAUGAUAACUAGCCGUUGGGAGGAUUUACCUCUUAGUGGCGAAGCUAACGCGUUAAGUUAUCCGCCUGGGGAGUACGGCCGCAAGGUUAAAACUCAAAGGAAUUGACGGGGACCCGCACAAGCGGUGGAGCAUGUGGUUUAAUUCGAUGCAACGCGAAGAACCUUACCUGGUCUUGACAUACACGGAACUUUCCAGAGAUGGAUUGGUGCCUUCGGGAACCGUGAUACAGGUGCUGCAUGGCUGUCGUCAGCUCGUGUCGUGAGAUGUUGGGUUAAGUCCCCGUAACGACGUG